UCCCCUCCCAGCUCAGUGGUGGAGCCCGCCACUACUACUGUAUUUCAUUGGUCAUAGGCGGGUUGGUCGUUCGAAUCGGCCGGGGGAA